rnacentral:rRNA from 1 species
CGGGCUCUUCGGAGCUAGUGGCGGACGGGUGAGUAACGCGUGAGGAUCUGCCCUUAGGACGGGGACAACAGCUGGAAACGGCUGCUAAUACCCGAUGUGCCGAGAGGUGAAACUAUUAGGCCUGAGGAUGAGCUCGCGUCUGAUUAGCUAGCUGGAGUGGUAACGGCACACCAAGGCGACGAUCAGUAGCUGGUCUGAGAGGAUGAUCAGCCACACUGGGACUGAGACACGGCCCAGACUCCUACGGGAGGCAGCAGUGGGGAAUUUUCCGCAAUGGGCGCAAGCCUGACGGAGCAAGACCGCGUGCGGGAGGAAGGUCUAUUGAUUGUAAACCGCUUUUGAUAGGGAAGAAGAUCUGACGGUACCUAUCGAAUCAGCAUCGGCUAACUCCGUGCCAGCAGCCGCGGUAAUACGGGGGAUGCAAGCGUUAUCCGGAAUUAUUGGGCGUAAAGCGUCCGUAGGUGGUUUUAAAAGUCUGUUGCCAAAUCGCGAGGCUUAACCUCGUACAGGCAGUGGAAACUAUAAGACUAGAGUGCGGUAGGGGUAGAGGGAAUUUCCAGUGUAGCGGUGAAAUGCGUAGAUAUUGGAAAGAACACCGGUGGCGAAGGCGCUCUACUGGGCCUGCACUGACACUGAGGGACGAAAGCUAGGGGAGCGAAAGGGAUUAGAUACCCCUGUAGUCCUAGCCGUAAACGAUGGAAACUAGGUGUUGCCCGUAUCGACCCGAGCCGUGCCGAAGC